UACGAAGGGGGCUAGCGUUGCUCGGAAUCACUGGGCGUAAAGGGUGCGUAGGCGGGUCUUUAAGUCAGGGGUGAAAUCCUGGAGCUCAACUCCAGAACUGCCUUUGAUACUGAGGAUCUUGAGUCCGGGAGAGGUGAGUGGAACUGCGAGUGUAGAGGUGAAAUUCGUAGAUAUUCGCAAGAACACCAGUGGCGAAGGCGGCUCACUGGCCCGAUACUGACGCUGAGGCACGAAAGCUAGGGGAGCAAACAGG
rnacentral:rRNA from 1 species